UACGGAGGAUCCAAGCGUUAUCCGGAUUUACUGGGCGUAAAGAGUUGCGUAGGUGGUUUGCUAAGUAAAUAGUGAAAUCUUGUGGCUCAACCAUAAGGCUAUUAUUUAAACUGGCAGACUCGAGAAUGAGAGAGGUCACUGGAAUUCCCUGUGUAGGAGUGAAAUCCGUAGAUAUAGGGAGGAACACCAAUGGCGUAGGCAGGUGACUGGCUCAUUUCUGACACUGAGGCACGAAAGCGUGGGGAGCGAACGGG
rnacentral:rRNA from 1 species